CCAGCUCCAAUAGCGUAUACUAAAGUUGUUGCAGUUAAAAAGCUCGUAGUUGAAUUUCUGGUCUCGAGACGCGGCCAGCCUCAAGGGGCGAUGCUGUGGAUCGGGACCAUCCUCGAGGAGAACAUAUCUGUCAUUGAGUUGAUGGGUAUGGGACCCUCGUCAUUUACUGUGAGCAAAAUAGAGUGUUCAAAGCAGGCUUACGCCGUUGAAUACAUUAGCAUGGAAUAAUAAGAUAGGACCUUGGUCUAUUUUGUUGGUUAUACUCCGAGGUAAUGAUUAAUAGGGACAGUUGGGGGUAUUCGUAUUCAAUUGUCAGAGGUGAAAUUCUUGGAUUUAUGGAAGACGAACUACUGCGAAAGCAUUUACCAAGGAUGUUUUCA
rnacentral:rRNA from 1 species